rnacentral:rRNA from 1 species
GACGAACGCUGGCGGCGUGCUUAACACAUGCAAGUCGAACGGAAAGGCCCUGCUUUUGUGGGGUGCUCGAGUGGCGAACGGGUGAGUAACACGUGAGUAACCUGCCCUUGACUUUGGGAUAACUUCAGGAAACUGGGGCUAAUACCGGAUAGGAGCUCCUGCUGCAUGGUGGGGGUUGGAAAGUUUCGGCGGUUGGGGAUGGACUCGCGGCUUAUCAGCUUGUUGGUGGGGUAGUGGCUUACCGAGGCUUUGACGGGUAGCCGGCCUGAGAGGGUGACCGGCCACAUUGGGACUGAGAUACGGCCCAGACUCCUACGGGAGGCAGCAGUGGGGAAUAUUGCACAAUGGGCGGAAGCCUGAUGCAGCAACGCCGCGUGCGGGAUGACGGCCUUCGGGUUGUAAACCGCUUUCGCCUGUGACGAAGCGUGAGUGACGGUAAUGGGUAAAGAAGCACCGGCUAACUACGUGCCAGCAGCCGCGGUGAUACGUAGGGUGCGAGCGUUGUCCGGAUUUAUUGGGCGUAAAGGGCUCGUAGGUGGUUGAUCGCGUCGGAAGUGUAAUCUUGGGGCUUAACCCUGAGCGUGCUUUCGAUACGGGUUGACUUGAGGAAGGUAGGGGAGAAUGGAAUUCCUGGUGGAGCGGUGGAAUGCGCAGAUAUCAGGAGGAACACCAGUGGCGAAGGCGGUUCUCUGGGCCUUUCCUGACGCUGAGGAGCGAAAGCGUGGGGAGCGAACAGGCUUAGAUACCCUGGUAGUCCACGCUGUAAACGGUGGGUACUAGGUGUGGGGUCCAUUCCACGGGUUCCGUGCCGUAGCUAACGCUUUAAGUACCCCGCCUGGGGAGUACGGCCGCAAGGCUAAAACUCAAAGGAAUUGACGGGGCCCCGCACAAGCGGCGGAGCAUGCGGAUUAAUUCGAUGCAACGCGUAGAACCUUACCUGGGUUUGACAUGGAUCGGGAGUGCUCAGAGAUGGGUGUGCCUCUUUUGGGGUCGGUUCACAGGUGGUGCAUGGCUGUCGUCAGCUCGUGUCGUGAGAUGUUGGGUUAAGUCCCGCAACGAGCGCAACCCUUGUUCACUGUUGCCAGCACGUUAUGGUGGGGACUCAGUGGAGACCGCCGGGGUCAACUCGGAGGAAGGUGGGGAUGACGUCAAGUCAUCAUGCCCCUUAUGUCCAGGGCUUCACGCAUGCUACAAUGGCUGGUACAGAGAGUGGCGAGCCUGUGAGGGUGAGCGAAUCUCGGAAAGCCGGUCUCAGUUCGGAUUGGGGUCUGCAACUCGACCUCAUGAAGUCGGAGUCGCUAGUAAUCGCAGAUCAGCAACGCUGCGGUGAAUACGUUCCCGGG